rnacentral:rRNA from 1 species
AUUGAACGCUGGCGGCAUGCCUUACACAUGCAAGUCGAACGGUAACAGGUCUUCGGAUGCUGCCGAGUGGCGAACGGGUGAGUAAUACAUCGGAACGUGCCUAGUAGUGGGGGAUAGCUACUCGAAAGAGUGGCUAAUACCGCAUGAGAUCUACGGAUGAAAGCAGGGGAUCGCAAGACAUGUUGCUACUAGAGCGGCCGAUGGCGGAUUAGGUAGUUGGUGUGCUAAAAGCUUACCAAGCCGACGAUCUGUAGCGGGUCUGAGAGGACGAUCAGCCACACUGGGACUGAGACACGGCCCAGACUCCUCAGGGAGGCAGCAGUGGGGAAUUUUGGACAAUGGGCGCAAGCCUGAUCCAGCAAUGCCGCGUGCAGGAUGAAGGCCUUCGGGUUGUAAACUGCUUUUGUACGGAACGAAAAGCCCUGGGUUAAUACCCUGGGGCCAUGACGGUACCGUAAGAAUAAGCACCGGCUAACUACGUGCCAGCCGCCGCAGUAA